AUUCCAGCUCCAAUAGCGUAUAUUAAAGUUGUUGCGGUUAAAAAGCUCGUAGUUGGAUUUCUGUCAAAGGUAAGGCGGUCCAUCUUAUGGAUGUGCAUCUGCCUAUGCCUUGGCAUCCUCAUGAAGAACGUUUUCGCGCUUCACUGCGUGUUUACGGUAUUCAUGACUUUUACUUUGAGGAAAUUAGAGUGUUCACGGCAGGCAAUCGCUUUGGAUACAUUAGCAUGGAAUAAUACUAUAGGACCUCGGUUCUAUUUUGUUGGUUUCUAGAGCUGAGGUAAUGAUUAAUAGGGAUAAUUGGGGGUCUUUGUAUUGCAACGUCAGAGGUGAAAUUCUUGGAUGGUUGCACGACAAACUAUUGCGAAAGCAUUGACCAAGGAUGUUUUCAUCA
rnacentral:rRNA from 1 species